UGGGGAAUCUUGCGCAAUGGCCGAAAGGCUGACGCAGCGACGCCGCGUGGGGGAGGAAGGGCUUCGGCUCGUAAACCCCUGUUGCCCGGGGCGAACAUCCCUUUUCGAGGGGACUGACGGUACCGGGUGAGGAAGCACCGGCUAGCUCCGUGCCAGCAGCCGCGGUAAUACGGAGGGUGCGAGCGUUGUCCGGAAUCACUGGGCGUAAAGGGCGCGUAGGUGGCUUUUCAGGCGCGCGGUGAAAGCCCGGGGCUCAACCCCGGGUCGGCCGUGCGGACUGGGAGGCUUGAGCACUGUAGGGGCGGGUGGAAUUCCGGGUGUAGCGGUGGAAUGCGUAGAGAUCCGGAAGAACACCGGUGGCGAAGGCGGCCCGCUGGGCAGGAAGGCUCGCAAGAGCCGGCUGACACUGAGGCGCGACAGCGUGGGGAGCAAACAGGAUUAGAUACCCUGGUAGUCCACGCCGUAAACGAUGGGCACUAGGUGCUUGGGGGAGCGACCCUCCGGGUGCCGGCGCUAACGCAUUAAGUGCCCCGCCUGGGGAGUACGGCCGCAAGGCUGA
rnacentral:rRNA from 1 species